rnacentral:rRNA from 1 species
UACGUAGGAGGCGAGCGUUGUCCGGAUUUAUUGGGCGUAAAGAGCGUGUAGGCGGUCAGGUAGGUCCGUUGUGAAAACUCGAGGCUCAACCUCGAGACGCCGAUGGAAACCAUCUGACUAGAGUCCGGAAGAGGAGAGUGGAAUUCCUGGUGUAGCGGUGAAAUGCGCAGAUAUCAGGAAGAACACCCGUGGCUAAGGCGGCUCUCUAGUACGGUACUGACGCUGAGACGCGAAAGCGUGGGGAGCGAACAGG